rnacentral:ncRNA from 1 species
UGAGGUCGGACGAGGCUACCCGCUGAAUUUAAGCAUAUUACUAAGCGGAGGAAAAGAAACUAACGAGGAUUCCCUCAGUAACGGCGAGUGAAGCGGGACGAGCCCAGCGCCGAAUCCGGCCGCUUAUGGAGCGGACGGAAUUGUGGCGUAUGGAAUUCGCUUCGAGCGCGGACCGGCUGCCCACGUCCUUCUGAUCGAGGCUUCAUCCCAUAGCGGGUGUCAGGCCCUUGGCGGCGGCUGGCCCGGGCUCUCGGUGUCUUCCCGGAGUCGGGUUGUUUGGGAAUGCAGCCCAAAGCGGGUGGCAAACUCCAUCUAAGGCUAAAUACGGUCACGAGACCGAUAGCGAACAAGUACCGUGAGGGAAAGUUGAAAAGCACUUUGGAGAGAGAGUUAAAAAGUACGUGAAACCGUCGAGAGGCAAACGGGAGGGCCUGUCGGGUCGUUCGGUCGCUUUCAGGCGGGCCGGAGACCGGGUCGCGGGAUCGGGGACCUUCGCGGGCCUCGACUCGCGUCGCCGGCCGACGGCUCGGCGCACUAGCGUCGGACGAGGGCCGCGACCGGCUGGGCGGCGGGCAAACGGCCCCGGGCAAGGUAACCCCGCUUCGGCGGGGUGCUACAGGCCCGGUGCGCGCAAGGGUCGCCGCCCGGUCGAGGAGAGAUGCGCGCCGCACCUGCCCCGUUCGCGGGGCG